UUUGAUAUAUAUUUCUUCUGG
rnacentral:piRNA from 1 species